rnacentral:rRNA from 1 species
ACUCCUACGGGAGGCAGCAGUGGGGAAUAUUGCACAAUGGGGGAAACCCUGAUGCAGCCAUGCCGCGUGUGUGAAGAAGGCCUUCGGGUUGUAAAGCACUUUCAGUUGUGAGGAAAGGUUGGUAGUUAAUACCUGCCAGCUGUGACGUUAACAACAGAAGAAGCACCGGCUAACUCCGUGCCAGCAGCCGCGGUAAUACGGAGGGUGCGAGCGUUAAUCGGAAUUACUGGGCGUAAAGCGCAUGCAGGCGGCCUGUUAAGUCAGAUGUGAAAGCCCGGGGCUUAACCUCGGAAUUGCAUUUGAAACUGGCAGGCUAGAGUCUUGUAGAGGGGGUGAAAUUAUCAGGUGUAGCGGUGAAAUGCGUAGAGAUCUGAAGGAAUACCAGUGGCGAAGGCGG